UACAGAGGGUGCAAGCGUUGUUCGGAAUUAUUGGGCGUAAAGCGCGUGUAGGCGGCUUUGCAAGUCGGGUGUGAAAUCCCUCAGCUUAACUGAGGAAGUGCGCCCGAAACUGCCGAGCUUGAGUACCGGAGAGGAUGGCGGAAUUCCCCAAGUAGAGGUGAAAUUCGUAGAUAUGGGGAGGAACACCGGUGGCGAAGGCGGCCAUCUGGACGGAUACUGACGCUGAGACGCGAAAGCGUGGGUAGCAAACAGG
rnacentral:rRNA from 1 species